CAGUCGCCGCGGUAAUACGAAGGGUGCAAGCGUCACUCGGAAUUACUGUGCGUAAAGCGUGCGUAGGUGGUGGUUUAAGUCCGUUGUGAAAGCCCUGGGCUCAACCAGGGAAUUGCAGUGGAUACUGGGUCACUAGAGUGUGGUAGAGGAUAGUGGAAUUUCCGGUGUAGCAGUGAAAUGCGUAGAGAUCGGAAGGAACAUCUGUGGCGAAGGCGACUAUCUGGGCCAACACUGACACUGUGGCACGAAAGCGUGGGGAGCAAACAGGAUUAGAUACCCCCGUAGUCCCUGUCUCUUAUAC
rnacentral:rRNA from 1 species